GAUGAACGCUAGCUACAGGCUUAACACAUGCAAGUCGAGGGACCGGCGCACGGGUGAGUAACACGUAUCCAACCUGCCCUUUACUCGGGGAUAGCCUUUCGAAAGAAAGAUUAAUACCCGAUAUAAUGGUUGGGGAUGCGUUCCAUUAGGUUGUUGGUGAGGUAACGGCUCACCAAGCCUUCUAUGGAGAGGGGUUCUGAGAGGAAGGCCCCCCACAUCGGAACUGAGACACGGGCCAAACGCCUACGGGAGGCAGCAGUGAGGAAUAUUGGUAAAUGGGCGCUAGCCUGAACCAGCCAAGUAGCGGGAAGAAUGAAGGCUUAUGGGUCUUAAACUUCUUGUAUAGAAGAAUAUGUAUUAUAAGAAUAAGGAUCGGCUAACUCCGUGCCAGCAGCCGCGGUAAUUC
rnacentral:rRNA from 1 species